GCGAUGCGUGCUUGCAAAGAAAGAAAGUCGACGUAGACCGAAAUAGUUAACGGGAGGGGACACAGCAAUUCCUGCGUUUCCGAUUUCCUCCUUUGGUAACACGCACCGACGCGGCAGACUGCAGUGAGCUUUCCGCCUUCCCUCUUUUCGCCGUCGCUGUUUCCUCGUUUUCGUCAAAACCCCAGGAAACCUAGGAAUUUCUUGGUACGAGAUUGCUUGUUUAUCUACUCUGGUCUCUCGAAGUUUUCCGUUCGGCUGCGAGAUUUCGAAUCGUGGUUUUCGGGUUAGCGUUUUUGCUCUUUCAAAUUUUCGAUUUUUUUUUAAUUUGCAUUGUUUCUGAAUGCUGUUUUUCCUGUAAAGGUACACUCUUUACUGUGAUUUAAUCACUUUAUUGGCAUGAAAAUCUUCAAUUUUUACUGCUUUGUUUUUGGGUGAAACAGUAAAUUGAAAUUAUAACUGGGUUUAGGUUUGUAUUUUUGUUCUUCUUUUGAAAACUAAUUGUAAUUAAUUUUCAAAAUUUUGUAGUUUAUUAUUGUUAGGUGAAGAAUGAUUAAGUAAAAUUUCACCUUGCUGUUAUUUUAUAGGUUAAUUAAUUUUUGAGAUUCAGAUGCUUAAAAACAAUGUCGGUUCAUCCGUGUCGUGUCGUGUUACGAGUUUAAUUGAUUGUGGCUGGGGAGAGACUUGUUCUGGCAACAAUUGGUUUUGAUCUUGAAAUAUUCUCCCCGACCUUGCUCAGGUGGCAUUGAAUUUUGUUAAUGACUGGUGAGCAUUGUUUAAUUUCUCAUAGGGGCUUUGUAUACGUAAUUUAGCGCUGAAGCGUAAUUAGAUGUUACGUUUGUCGUUUACAUAACUGCGCUUGCAGUACAAGCCCCAUUUUACUGCAGCUGGUUCAGUGGCUCUUGCUGCCAAAAUUCAAAAAGUGAAACUACUGUUAGACGAAGUCAACACUUAGCUAAUCUCUGGGGAACUUGAGGAGUUUGGAUGUACUUCAAACUCUUAUCCCGUUGGUUUUUUCAUGUUUGUAGGAUCUGUUUUUCAAAUGUAUUUUAUUUGUAAUUUGUUUGUAAUCUUUUCAUCUUUCUGUUUGUAUUUUUCAAAUUCAAAGUUCCUUGUAAUUUGGGUUUUCAAACCCACGAUGUAAUCUUCAAAGUAUUAUAUAAAUACAUGCAAUCCACAGUUAUUUGGGUAUGCAACUAAAGUGAAACACCUGAGUUCCUAAGUUUUACAACUACCUACACAACAGGGAAAAGUACGGUGGCUGGAGAGUUCGAUGUUUCGCCAAAGCAGUUGAAUGAGGUCAUUCUGCGGAUGAUGGGGCCAGACAAAAAAAUCUACCGCCAGAGAAUGGAAGAGUCAUUGCAGCUGAAACACUGCCUAGAAAGCCAAGCAGUAUUGACGAGGGAGGUGGGAACGACAUUGUUCUGCGCAAACUAACGGAAGUAAGAUUGAUAUUGACCGGAUUAGAGAUGCUAUGAAGAGGAGAAGGCGCGAUAAAGAUGUAAAUAAGAAUGUGCAUGCCAUAGAUGAUGAGAAAGAUCCUGAAGCCUGGAUAGAAAAUGAGCUUGAAAAUGGAGUGGAGCUAAAAGGUACGUCCGCAAGGAAGAAACAAAGGUGGUGAGUUUUUUUCAUGCAAUUACAGGCAUCUUCCUUUGUGCAUGGUGCUAAUAUUUGAGAGUGUACUUCUUUGGUUAGAAAUUCGAUUUUUCUUAUUUUGUAAGUAAUUUUUUGUCAAAAUUUUGUAUCUACAUUUACCGUAGUGGCGGAAAGCAAUGGUGCAUAUGCACCUUUUACUCCACUGACUCUCGUACUCCCUCACAACUAACUAUUUAACCCGUUAAUGCUGUCGUUUGUAAAAAAAGAUAAUUAUUCUAGUACUUAAUUUUAAAUUCGAUAA